AGAGUUUGAUCCUGGUCAGGAUGAACGCUGGCGGCGUGCCUAACACAUGCAAGUCGAGCGAGAAGCUUAAGAAUGAAACUUCGGUCGAAUGAUUAAGUGGAAAGCGGCGGACGGGUGAGUAACGCGUAGGCAACCUGCCCUUAGCAGGGGGAUAGCCAUUGGAAACGAUGAUUAAAACCCCAUAAUGCGGAGGAUUCACAUGUAGCCUCCGCCAAAGAUUUAUCGGCUAAGGAUGGGCCUGCGUCUGAUUAGGUAGUUGGUGAGGUAACGGCCCACCAAGCCUACGAUCAGUAGCCGACCUGAGAGGGUGAUCGGCCACAUUGGAACUGAGACACGGUCCAAACUCC
rnacentral:rRNA from 1 species